GUAGGCGGUUUGUCGCGUCUGCUGUGAAAGGCCGGGGCUUAACUCCGUGUAUUGCAGUGGGUACGGGCAGACUAGAGUGCAGUAGGGGAGACUGGAAUUCCUGGUGUAGCGGUGGAAUGCGCAGAUAUCAGGAGGAACACCGAUGGCGAAGGCAGGUCUCUGGGCUGUAACUGACGCUGAGAAGCGAAAGCAUGGGGAGCGAACAGGAUUAGAUACCCUGGUAGUCCACGCUGUAAACGAUGUCGAUUUGGGGGUUGAGCUUUGAGCUUGGCGCCCGUAGCUAACGUGAUAAAUCGACCGCCUGGGGAGUACGGCCGCAAGGUUAAAACUCAAAUGAAUUGACGGGGGCCCGCACAAGCGGUGGAGCAUGUGGUUUAAUUCGAUGCAACGCGAAGAACCUUACCUACUCUUGACAUCCAGAGAACUUUCCAGAGAUGGAUUGGUGCCUUCGGGAACUCUGAGACAGGUGCUGCAUGGCUGUCGUCAGCUCGUGUCGUGAG
rnacentral:rRNA from 1 species